rnacentral:sRNA from 1 species
AAUCAUCACCCCUGCCCCAUAAACAUGAAAGAAAAGACAAGAGAAGCACCCCAGAAGAGAAGGGGAGAAGUGCCCCAGAAAAAAUCAUCCAGUCUCUGAAGUUUGCCCAGUAUCCAUUGCUGCAGCUUCCUGAAGUUGUGUCCGUUAAAAGGCAGGGACCCAGUGUCCAGGCUACAGAGGGUGACUCCAGGUUCCACAGCACCACUGUGGACCAGUGUGCCUAUGGCCUUAGGAGAAUUCCCAGAUAGCACAAGGGGGCUGCCCCAGAGGGUGUUCAGCUUGUUGCCAACAGUUACUGAAGCCAGAGUCUGCAACCUUGAUGUUCAGGUCAAGCAGCCAGAAACAGGUGUUCUGGCUUUAGGUCCCUGUGGACAAUGCCAUUCUCUCCUUCCCAGGCUACUGAUGUCCUGGGUUGCUCCUCUUAUGGUAGAAGCUCAAGAUGGAAUGGCUGGAGCUUGGCUGCCUCCGGUUAGAGCCUGGGCUCUGUAUUGCAGACAUCACCCGGCAGAAUUCCUCAUGGGCCCCUUUUGUCGUGGGUGCGACUGCUGGGGCCAGGGUUGUCGUGGGUAGUAAAGGUAUUUACCAAGACAACUGUGAGUAAAGAAAGGCAAAUUUAUUACAGAAACUAUGAAAAUACAUUGCAAGAAUGCAACAUGCAGCACAGCAGAGAAGGGGCUGUCUGCAAAGAUAAAGGGCUGGAGGGAAGUUUUCUAAGGUUGUGCUGGACAGGGCUAUGUGCCGGUGAGCUUGUGCUAUAUGCUAAGAAUAUGUUGGAAUAAUUUUAACUGCCAGGGCUUUCCUCUUCUGGUGCCUGAGGGAAACGCCCUGCUGCUUUUAGCUGUCUUGUAACCCACACGCCUUUUCAUUUCUGAAGUUGCAAGAUAACGGCUGUGGUUUUUCACACAAAAGGGUUGCAGACUGGGUUAGGUCCAUGUUCCGCCAACCUGGCUCUUUCCCAGUUUCAGUUAACUUAGUGGUUUACUAGAGCCCCACACCUUUCUCUUUCAUAUGGCCAUGAUCCAGGAGGUAAUCCGUCACCUCCCCUCCACUAGAGUGCUCCAUGGCCAGGGGUAAUCCUCACCUCUCCUCCGCUAGAGUGCUCCAUGGCCAGGCAGUGUUUCCUGCAUCCAGAGCACCUCAAACAAUUUCAGUGUUGUGGUGACUCAGGGCCUUCACCAUACAGACUUGGCAGCAUAGUCUAGAGGCUGGAGGGUCUCUGUGACUCCCAUUAAUGACGGUCACUGCCACGGUUUCCCCAAGCAGGAUGUGCCAGGAAAACUGCUCCAUGUUGGCUCAGCAGAAUGUUAUUAUAGGUAGCUCAAAAAGAGAGGGAACAGGGCUUCUAGAUUAUUUCAGGGAACAAGCUAUUAUUUGAAUGUUAAUUUAAGACUAUUUUAUCAAUUAAAAAUGUAAGGCCCAAGAAACUUCAUUUAGGAAGAAUGAAUAAAUUGAAUGAAUACUGUUAAACUUU